AUGACGCCGAGGACCUUGGCCCUGAUGGCGGUGCAGAGGCACACAGCGGCGUCAAGGUCGGCCAGACCGGCCAGCAGCGGGCAGCACCGCUCGUUGGGCGGCACGCCGAGCCCGAGCUUCACCAGGUUCAGCACGGUGGCACACACGCCCAGCUUCAGCGUGUCGAUCGGGCACGUGCCGCCGUUGGUCGAUGGAGGUGGUGGUGGGGUCGGGGUCGGGCUGUGGGGUCCGCAGCCACCAUGCACAGCGGUGACCAUCAAGUUUAGGCCCAGGAGUAGGAGGAAGAGCUUGGUCAAUGGCGCCAUUGCUAAAGCUUUGGUCGACAGGAAGCAAGAAUCAAGAUUAAUCUCCACGCUUGAUUGGUUAGAAGAGACUGGUUAUAAGUUCUCAUGUCUCUGA
rnacentral:rRNA from 1 species